UACGUAGGGUGCAAGCGUUGUCCGGAAUUAUUGGGCGUAAAGAGCUCGUAGGCGGUCUGUCGCGUCGGCUGUGAAAACUCGGGGCUCAACCCCGAGCCUGCAGUCGAUACGGGCAGACUAGAGUGCUGUAGGGGAGACUGGAAUUCCUGGUGUAGCGGUGAAAUGCGCAGAUAUCGGGAAGAACACCCGUGGCGAAGGCGGCUCUCUGGGACGGUACUGACGCUGAGACGCGAAAGCGUGGGGAGCGAACAGG
rnacentral:rRNA from 1 species